rnacentral:rRNA from 1 species
AUUGAACGCUGGCGGAAUGCUUUACACAUGCAAGUCGAACGGCAGCACGGACUUCGGUCUGGUGGCGAGUGGCGAACGGGUGAGUAAUGUAUCGGAACGUGCCCAGUCGUGGGGGAUAACGUAGUGAAAAUUACGCUAAUACCGCAUACGAUCUAUGGAUGAAAGCGGGGGAUCGCAAGACCUCGCGCGAUUGGAGCGGCCGAUAUCAGAUUAGGUAGUUGGUGGGGUAAAGGCCCACCAAGCCAACGAUCUGUAGCUGGUCUGAGAGGACGACCAGCCACACUGGAACUGAGACACGGUCCAGACGCCUACGGGAGGCAGCAGUGGGGAAUUGUGGACAAUGGGCGAAAGCCUGAUCCAGCCAUUCCGCGUGCAGGAUGAAGGCCCUCAGGUUGUAAACUGCUUUUGUACAGAACGAAAAGGUUUCUACUAAUACUAGGAGCUCAUGACGGUACUGUAAGAAUAAGCACCGGCUAACUACGUGCCAGCCGCCGCCGUAA